rnacentral:rRNA from 1 species
GACGAACGCUGGCGGCGUGCUUAACACAUGCAAGUCGAACGGAAAGGCCCUGCUUUUGUGGGGUGCUCGAGUGGCGAACGGGUGAGUAACACGUGAGUAACCUGCCCUUGACUUUGGGAUAACUUCAGGAAACUGGGGCUAAUACCGGAUAGGAGCUCCUGCUGCAUGGUGGGGGUUGGAAAGUUUCGGCGGUUGGGGAUGGACUCGCGGCUUAUCAGCUUGUUGGUGGGGUAGUGGCUUACCAAGGCUUUGACGGGUAGCCGGCCUGAGAGGGUGACCGGCCACAUUGGGACUGAGAUACGGCCCAGCCUCCUCCGGGAGGCAGCGGUGGAGAAUAUUACACAAUGGGAGGAAGCCUGAUCCAGCAAAGCCGCGUGCGGGAUGACGGCCUUCGGGUUGUAAACCGCUUUCGCCUGUGACGAAGCGUGAGUGACGGUAAUGGGUAAAGAAGCACCGGCUAACUACGUG